ensembl:lncRNA
CAACCGUUCAGACGACCCCGACCUGUGAGGACAUCCGUUGCCAAAAGGGGAUGGUGUGCAAAAUGCUGGAGGGGUGGCCCAAAUGUGUUGGCCCCAUACCAUCAUGUGGGGACAUCCAAUGUUCCCUGGGCACCGUGUGCAAGAUGGUCAACGGUUGGCCAAAAUGUGCCCACGAACCGCUCUCUUGCAGCAACAUCCACUGCCAGAAGGGGACCACGUGCCAGAUGGUGGAUGGAUGGCCACGCUGCAUCCAACUCAAGGUAUCUCCAAGGAAGCCUUCCUGCAGUGACCUCCAUUGUCCGAAGGGAACCACGUGUAAGAUGAUGGAUGGACAUCCCCAAUGUGUCCAAAAUCAACCUACCUGCAGUGACAUCCAGUGCCAGAAAGGAACCACGUGCCAGAUGGUGGAUGGUUGGCCACGGUGUGUCCAACUCAAGGUAUCUCCAAGGCAGCCUUCCUGCAAUGACAUGCA